rnacentral:rRNA from 1 species
AACGAACGCUGGCGGCGCGUCUAAGCAUGCAAGUCGGACGGCAGGGCGACCUUCGGGUGUCCGAGAGUGGCGAACGGGUGAGUAACACGUAAGUGAUCUGCCCGUGCAGUUGGGGAUAGCCUGUGGAAACACAGGGUAAUACCGGAUGAGAUGUCAAUGAUUGAACCUAUGGCGAUGAAAGUGGCCACGGCCACGCUGCAGGAUGAGGCUUGCGGCUCAUUAGGCUAGUUGGGGGUGUAACGGACCACCAAGGCGACGAUGAGUAGCCGGCCUGAGAGGGUGAACGGCCACAUUGGGACUGAGACACGGCCCAGACUCCUACGGGAGGCAGCAGCUAAGAAUAUUCCGCAAUGGGGGGAACCCUGACGGAGCGACGCCGCGUGAACGAUGAAGGACAGAGAUGUUGUAAAGUUCUUUUAUCGCUGAAGAAUAACCGGUGCAGGGAAUGGCACCGGGAUGACGUUAGGCGAUGAAUAAGCCACGGCUAACUACGUGCCAGCCGCUGC